AUCUGUGCUGUGUUACAGUGUAUCUGUGCUGUGUUACAGUGUAUCUGUGCUGUGUUACAGUGUAUCUGUGCUGUGUUACAGUGUAUCUGUUGUGUGUUACAGUGUAUCUGUGCUGUGUUACAGUGUAUCUGUUGUGUGUUACAGUGUAUCUGUUAUGUGUUACAGUGUAUCUGUGCUGUGUUACAGUGUAUCUGUGCUGUGUUACAGUGUAUCUGUGCUGUGUUACAGUGUAUCUGUGCUGUGUUACAGUGUAUCUGUUGUGUGUUACAGUGUAUCUGUGCUGUGUUACAGUGUAUCUGUGCUGUGUUACAGUGUAUCUUGUAUCUGUUACAGUGUAUCUGUUGUGUGUUACAGUGUAUCUGUUACAGUGUAUUUGUUACAGUGUAUCUGUUGUGUGUUACAGUGUAUCUGUUAUGUGUUACAGUGUAUCUGUUGUGUGUUACAGUGUAUCUGUUGUGUGUUACAGUGUAUCUGUUACAGUGUAUCUGUUACAGUGUAUCUGUUACAGUGUAUCUGUUAUGUGUUACAGUGUAUCUGUUACAGUGUAUCUGUUACAGUGUAUCUGUUAUGUGUUACAGUGUAUCUGUUGUGUGUUACAGUGUAUCUGUGCUGUGUUACAGUGUAUCUGUGCUGUGUUACAGUGUAUCUGUGCUGUGUUACAGUGCUGUGUUACAGUGUAUCUGUGCUGUGUUACAGUGUAUCUGUGCUGUGUUACAGUGUAUCUGUGCUGUGUUACAGUGUAUCUGUG
ensembl:lncRNA